rnacentral:tRNA from 1 species
CGGAAUGUAGCCCAGCGGCUAGGGCACCUGCUUUGGGAGCAGGAGAUCGGAGGUUCGAGUCCUCUCAUUCCGA